AAAGUAGAAGAUGAGAUUCUUAUGCAUAUAAAGAUUCCACUUGUUUUUGAAUUGUUAAAUCUUCUUUGAAGUGCGAAAUCUUAUGUACCAUGUGUAAUAUCAGUAAUCCAGUAGCAGUAAACAGCAAGGGCACUAAUCCAGUUUCAACAUCCUUCAAUCCUACACCAGCUACAACCACAUCAUUUUAUGAUCUUCAAUGGGUUUCUUGCACAUAACGAGUUUCUUUGAUGGGUUUAAAGUCCGUCUGCGGGAUUACAAACUCCCCGUCUUCGUCUUCGCUAUUCAGAGUUGGUGUAGCGGAUCGAUGAUGAGGCAUGUGGUCCUCGGGCAAUCGUGGAGAGUUGUACCCGAGGAAGGAUGAUAAAUCUGUUGAUUCAAUGUCCCAUGCCUGUGCGGUGGGAAAGAAAUCAUGGGAGAUAAUCUUGAGGAUUGAUGGAAGUAUCGUCCAUCGCAAUCCAUUAGUGUUCCUUGUUGUGUACACUCCUUGCUGUUGUUGAGUAAGGCUGUGAUUAUGCAGAGUGAGGAGCCCAACUUUGGUUGUGACCAUGUGUAUAGCCAGUGUGCGUCUUCGCCGACCCCGAGUGGAUUCACAUGUUUUUGUUUCAAGACAAUUUUACCCCGAAUGUGAAGCAUGGUCUAAUUAACCAUAUGGGUUCAAGCCGACGUUUGUGUCCAGGCUUUUUCCUCAAGGCCAUGUGACAGGGAGAAGGUUGCGGCGGUUUUGUUGAGGGGCCUUUUGUUUUGAUCAAUGCUUUGGGGAGGCCCUCUCUCUUCCUGUAAAAGGCGGGGAGUAUGACUGCGGAGGCAGUUGUGUCAUCUGGGAUUCGACUGGGAGCUAGAGCCGACCAAAAACUGUUUUUAUGCACACUCUAGGGCCUGAGAGCGGUGAAAGUGUCGGUGUCGUCAGCACAAAGGACUUUGCUGAAGUUCCCAAACGUUUUGCGCAAGAACUCAUGGGUUCUUAGGAAGGGAGGGAGCUCCCGUGUUUGGGCCCAAACUCCCAUCUUAAGGCUUGAUUUAUUAAGAGGGUGGUCAGUGUUGAAGUAUGGAGACCAACUACAGAAAGUGAUGUCAACCCUUCAAGCCAGCUUCCAUGAGAUGUCAACGUGCAUGUCCUCCCCUCUUCUUGUCUACACUGUAUUUCGAAAUAGUUAUUGGACCUAAUUGUCAGCUUGUGAAAUUACCUAUGAAGAUCCACAUGGAUAGUUUUCUGACACCCGGAGUGCCCCCAAAUAUGUGACAUAGAUCCAUGUAGUUUGUUAAGUUUUUUCAUUUUUUCUUAGUAAGAUUGGAGGCGGUUUGGUGCCAUGGUAAUCUGUAAGGGUGGGGAACGCUCCUCAUCGUUCAGUGAGCUGAGGGGGGCUGUGACGUUUGCUCGAUCCGUUGUUACAGCGACCUGUUGACUGCAGAGUGCGGGCUGGAGCUGCUGGGGAGCAGAAACCUGCUCUGGAAUACGAGGUACCUCCUCCGAGAGCUCGUAAGUUUCUACUUGACAAGAACUGUCCAUUCGACGGAAGAUGACAACAAGUGUAUUUAAAGAAUUUAUGCUUGAUUUAGAGAGGAAGAUGGUUGAUGUACAAAAAUAGAAGGUGUUACUAUUGGUUGAUGAUUUCUCAAACGUCCAAGUACCUCACAUAGAUGCACAAUUGAGAAUUGAGUUCCUACCUAUAAACACUAAGUAAAUUCCAACCUAUGGAAACAAAACUAUUCCAUCA